rnacentral:misc_RNA from 1 species
AAGUUGUAACAAGGUUUCCGCAGGUGAAUCUCUGUUAGAGAUUGGCCUCACAGCCGUCUUUCAAAUCCACACACAGACCGUGAACCGUUCUCGCGUCUCCAGGGACAUGGGACUACAAACCAAAACAUGGGUAUGAAAGAACGUGAAAUGUAUAACGAAACAGUA